UACGAAGGGGCUAGCGUUGCUCGGAAUCACUGGGCGUAAAGGGUGCGUAGGCGGGUCUUUAAGUCAGGGGUGAAAUCCCAGAGCUCAACUCUGGAACUGCCUUUGAUACUGGGUAUCUUGAGUAUGGAAGAGGUAAGUGGAAUUGCGAGUGUAGAGGUGAAUCGUAGAUAUUCGCAGGAACACCAGUGGCGAAGGCGGCUUACUGGUCCAUAACUGACGCUGAGGUGCGAAAGCGUGGGGAGCAAACAGG
rnacentral:rRNA from 1 species